rnacentral:rRNA from 1 species
CACGUAGGCGGCUUCGUAAGUCAGGGGUGAAAUCCCACGGCUCAACCGUGGAACUGCCUUUGAAACUGCAAAGCUUGAAUCCUGGAGAGGGUGGCGGAAUUCCUGGUGUAGGAGUGAAAUCCGUAGAUAUCAGGAGGAACACCGGUGGCGAAGGCGGCCACCUGGACAGGUAUUGACGCUGAGGUGCGAAAGUGUGGGGAGCAAACA